UAGUCCUAGCUGUAAACGAUGAGCACUGGGUUGAGGGGACUUCCACAUCCUCUCGGCCGUAGCGAAAGCGCUAAGUGCUCCGCCUGGGGAGUAUGGUCACAAGGCUGAAACUCAAAGGAAUUGACGGGGGCUCACACAAGCGGUGGAGGAUGUGGCUUAAUUCGAGGCUACGCGAAGAACCUUAUCCUAGACUUGACAUGCUUGAGAAUCCCUAAGAAAUUAGAGAGUGCCCUUCGGGGAGCUCUUGCACAGGUGCUGCAUGGCUGUCGUCAGCUCGUGUCGUGAGAUGUCGGGUUAAGUCCCUUAACGAGCGAAACCCUUAUCUUUAGUUGCCAGCGGGUAAUGCCGGGGACUCUAAAGAGACUGCCGGUGUCAAACCGGAGGAAGGUGGGAUGACGUCAAGUCCUCAUGGCCUUUAUGUCUAGGGCUGCACACGUCCUACAAUGGUACGGACAAAUGGAAGCGACCUGGUGACAGCAAGCAAAUCUCAAAAAGUGC
rnacentral:rRNA from 1 species